rnacentral:lncRNA from 1 species
CAAAGAUGAGCUGCGUGCCCAUAAUUCCACGUUUACGCUGACUCCUCCAGUGCCUCAUCAAUGAAGCAGCUACGUUCUGGAUGGCUAGCAUGUACCGAAGGCACAAAACCUCCAGAGUUGGCAGAGUUAAGUCCUGGCGUGCCCGAGGCUAUCCAGGGGAACACGCGGGACAGACAGCACCCUCAGCCUGUCCCCAUGACCCUCUGCUCCAGUCUGAGGGGCAGGACACCAUGAGACCUCUCAGACACAGAGUCCACCCUCGACAUGACCCGGAUGAAAGGCAGGAGUGUGUGCCCUGCUUUUGCCCUCGAAGCUCGCUGAAGGGGACCCAUCUCUGCAAGCCCACAGCCCUACCUGCAGCAUCCACAGCCUCAGAGAGCAGCGGGGCCCCUUACCCCUGAACCCCCUCCAAGAGCAUCAGGACAACAAGCCUUGAGCUGUGGAGACAAGAGAAUCAGUAUCCCUGGCCCAGGGAGGAUUCCAGGAGAGGACACGGGCAGGAGCCCUGGCCCAGAGCCAGAACCAAGAGUCCAGCCAGGUAUGGAAAUGGUCCAGUCCUGGCAUGGAGUGGAUGGCCUGGGGCCAUCCAUCUCACCCACUGUGGAGACAGGCCCCCGAGUGAGGUGGCAAGGGGGCCAGGUGACAGCAAAGGCCUCUCCCAUCUGAAUUCUGAAUCAGGGGCCGCAUCCCAGCCGGCACAGCCCUGGGGUGAGAGAGAGAGGCAGGAAGCCUUGAGCCAGCCCAAACCCUCGGGGCUGUCUUAGGAGCAACCUGAGGUGCCCCAACAGCUCCCCCGCCCAAGCGC